rnacentral:lncRNA from 10 species
CAAGAUCACAGAUUGUGGCAGAACCAACCAAUGUCUUUUUUAAACAUUAAGGACAUCUUAUAUGUAUAUUUAUGCAUAUACAUACUGAUGAAAUGUGCCUUUAGCAAUAGAUGUGUCCAGUGAUGUACUAAUGAAGAUUUAACAACUGGUUCUAACUUGUAAUGUUUGCCAGUUUCCAUGACUGGGUCUUACAAGUUGUUGUGCACUGACUCCAUCAUUCCACUGGAUGUGCCCCUGAAAUCAUAUAUUUACUACUAAAACCAUUAGAUUGUUUCCUUGUUCCAGUUAUGCAUUCAGAGACACUCCACCUUAUUUUCUGAUUACAUUUGCAGGGAGAAAUAACUCCUUACUUGUCAGUUUCAGCCUUCACUUUUAGUUUCUUUUUCUUUUCCUUUUUCCAACCCAGUAUACCUUAGAAACUUUCAGUUUCUUUUAAGGAUUUAAUAACUUGCUUAUAAGUGUUUAAAAUGACUUAAUGGGUUCUAUCUUUUAAGGGAACUUUGGAUGAAUCCUUGAAUAUCAGUUAUCUAUUGCCAAUUAACAAAUCACCCCAAAGCUCAUUGGCUUAAAACAACAAUCUUUCAUUAGUUUGCGUUCUUCCAGGUAAUUCUUAUAGUCUGGAUCCAGCUCAGCUUAUCUUGGCUGGACUUGCCCAUGCAGCUGAGGUCACUAGUUGGGUUGUUGAGGCUGGCUAGUCCUAGAUGGUGUCACUCAUAUGUCUGGUAUUGAGUGACUGUCACCUGGGGCAUUAGGGGGACUGUGUCUCUCAUCAUCCAGCAAGCUAGGCCUGGAUUCUUCACAUGGCUUUAGGAUUUCAAGAGUAUGAGAUUGGGGCUGGGCAUGAUGACUCACACCUGUAAUCCCAGCACUUUGGGAGGCCAAGGUUGGGGGAUUUCUUGAGCCCAGGAGCUGGAGUGCAAUGGCGCAAUCUCAGCCCACCAGAACCUUUGCCUCUUGGGUUCAAGCGAUUCUCCUGCCUCAGUCUCCUGAGUAGCUGAGAUUACAGGCAUGAGCCACCACGCCCAGCUAAUUUUGUAUUUUUAGUAGAGAUGGGUUUCUCCGUGUUGGUCAGGCUGGUCUUGAAUUCCCCACCUCAGGUGAUCUGCCUGCCUCAGCCUCCCAAAGUGCUGGGAUUACAGGUGUGAGCCACCACGCCUGGUCUUCUAC